GCGAUAAGCGCCGGUAAGGUGAUAUGAACCGUUAUAACCGGCGAUACCCGAAUGGGGAAACCCAGUGUGACUCGUCACACUAUCAUUAACUGAAUCCAUAGGUUAAUGAGGCGAACCGGGGGAACUGAAACAUCUAAGUACCCCGAGGAAAAGAAAUCAACCGAGAUUCCCCCAGUAGCGGCGAGCGAACGGGGAGGAGCCCAGAGCCUGAAUCAGCAUGUGUGUUAGUGGAAGCGUCUGGAAAGGCGCGCGAUACAGGGUGACAGCCCCGUACACAAAAGCGCAUGUGCUGUGAGCUCGAUGAGUAGGGCGGGACACGUGGUAUCCUGUCUGAAUAUGGGGGGACCAUCCUCCAAGGCUAAAUACUCCUGACUGACCGAUAGUGAACCAGUACCGUGAGGGAAAGGCGAAAAGAACCCCGGCGAGGGGAGUGAAAAAGAACCUGAAACCGUGUACGUACAAGCAGUGGGAGCACCCUUCGGGGUGUGACUGCGUACCUUUUGUAUAAUGGGUCAGCGACUUAUAUUCUGUAGCAAGGUUAACCGUAUAGGGGAGCCGUAGGGAAACCGAGUCUUAAC
rnacentral:rRNA from 1 species